CCUACGGGUGGCAGCAGUGGGGAAUAUUGGGCAAUGGAGGCAACUCUGACCCAGCAAUGCCGCGUGAGUGAUGAAGGUAAUUUUAUUGUAAAGCUCUUUUCUUUGGAACGAAUAAAUGACGGUACCAAAGGAAUAAGCACUGGCUGACUACGUGCCAGCAGCCGCGGUAAUACGUAGGGGGCAAGGGUUGUUCGGAAUGACUGGGCUUAAAGGGUGUGUAGGGGGUUGGAGAAGUUAGAUGUGGAAUACCCAGGGCUUAACUCGGGUGCUGCAUCUAAUACUGUUCGACUUGAGUACUGGAGAGGAUAGUGGAAUGCCUGGUGUAGCGGUGGAAUGCGUAGAGAUUAGGAGGAACAUCAGUGGCGAAGGCGACUAUCUGGACAGCAACUGACGCUGAGGCACGAAAGCGUGGGGAGCAAACAGGAUUAGAUACCCCUGUAGUC
rnacentral:rRNA from 1 species